rnacentral:rRNA from 1 species
UAGUGAGUUUGAUCCUGGCUCAGAACGAACGCUGGCGGCAGGCCUAACACAUGCAAGUCGAACGGGUCCUUCGGGACUAGUGGCGGACGGGUGAGUAACGCGUGGGAACGUGCCCUUUGGUUCGGAAUAGCCUCGGGAAACUGGGAGUAAUACCGAAUGUGCCCUUCGGGGGAAAGAUUUAUCGCCUUUAGAGCGGCCCGCGUCUGAUUAGCUAGUUGGUAAGGUAAAAGCUUACCAAGGCGACGAUCUUUAGCUGGUCUGAGAGGAUGAUCAGCCACACUGGGACUGAGAAACGGUCCAGACUCCUACGGGAGCAGCAGUGGGGAAUUUCCGCAAUGGGGCGAAAGCCUGACGGAGCAAUACCGCGUGAGGGAGGAA